AAAACGUUUGCAGUAACUGAAUUUGCAGAUGACAAUUCAGUAGAAAUUGUCCCAAGUACUUGGUUGGAGGAAACCACUGAAGGAACAUUUUGUUUCUGGACCUUCACCAACACAAGACAGCUAGUAAAAAAAAUGCCUUGCCUGACAAACAAAAGUGGAGGCGCUUCCCUGUAAAAAAGAUUUGGCUACAAACAAACUCAUAUGAAAAGGCAUUCCAUAAAUGCCAAGAAGCAGCUGAAACAUCAAAUAUUGAAACUGACACAUCCCUUAAAAAGAGGCCACACAAAAAGCCCAAAAGAUAUGAGUCCGAAACUGACAUUUCAUCAGAUGAUGGGAGAGAUUGCCGUGGAGUUCCGAAGUUCAUUGUUUAAAUGUUUUGGUUUUUAAUAUAUUAAAAUAUUUUUAUGAUAGAAUGUUCUACAUGUUUUUAUGUGUUAUGCCAAUGUUAUGUUUUAUAUAAUCAAAUUAUCUACCCUUUAUAUCAUUAUCUAACUCUAUAAGUUCCAUAAAUGUUCCUGUGAUUAAUGAUGAUUUUGAUGAUGAUGUCUACAAAUAAAGAAUGGAUCAACAUGGAUUGUGUUUUCAUUUAAAUAGAUUAUAUACGAAUAAACUUAGUUUAUAUAGUGAAAUAGUUUUUUUUUUUUUUUUGAUUAUUUAAUUGUGAAUUUUUUAUUAUUAAUGGUGCCUAAAUAUAGGGAAUAACUAGAGGUUUGGAGAACGUCCUGAGGACCUUCCGGGAACGUUCUGGCAAGGUUCUCCGUAACGUUCCGAAAAGGUUAGGGGAACGUUCUGAGAACCUAAAAAUAACGUUCUAUUUCCGUAUAAAGAAAACUUUCCUGGGGAACCAACAGGGAAC